GGAGUUAUGGCUCAAAUGGUAGAGCACCAGCUUAGCAUGUAUGAGGCCCUGAGAUCAAAUCCCAGUAGUGCUC
rnacentral:tRNA from 1 species